AACGCACCUUGCGCUCCUUGGUAUUCCGAGGAGCAUGCCUGUUUGAGUGUCAUUAAAUUCUCAACCUCACCUGGUUUCUGACUUGUGUGAUGGCUUGGAUUUGGGAGUUGUGCAGGCUGCAGUUCUCUGCGGCUCUGCUCUCCUUAAAUGUAUUAGCAGGUCUUUUACCUCUAUCCCAACAGUGUGAUAAUCUAUCUACGCUGCUGGUUUGGAGACCCACUUGUGGGGGACUGGCUUCUAACCGUCUGAAAAGACAAUUGACAUUCUUGACCUCAAAUCAGGUAGGACUACCCGCUGAACUUAA
rnacentral:misc_RNA from 1 species